rnacentral:antisense_RNA from 1 species
UUCAAUGGUCGGGCCUUGGUGGGGAGACCUUCGGGUCUGCCGGUUUCCUUGGGGCCGGUUCGCCAACCCUGUCUUGUGCCCGGCCACCCCG